UCAGGAUGAACGCUAGCGGCAGGCUUAACACAUGCAAGUCGAGGGGCAUCGGGAGUAGCAAUACUGCCGGCGACCGGCGCAAGGGUGCGUAACGCGUGAGCAACAUGCCCGUAUCAGGGGGAUAAUCCAUGGAAACGUGGUCUAAUACCCCAUAGUAAUUAUGUAAGGCAUCUUAUAUAAUUUAAAGCUUUGGUGGAUACGGAUUGGCUCGCGUGACAUUAGCUAGAUGGUAAGGUAACGGCUUACCAUGGCUACGAUGUCUAGGGGUUCUGAGAGGAAGGCCCCCCACACUGGAACUGAGACACGGUCCAGACUCCUACGGGAGGCAGCAGUGAGGAAUAUUGGACAAUGGAUGGAAAUCUGAUCCAGCCAUGCCGCGUGCAGGAAGACGGCCCUAUGGGUUGUAAACUGCUUUUGUAUGGGAGCAAUAAGGGCUACGCGUAGUCCGAUGAGAGUACCAUACGAAUAAGCACCGGCUAACUCCGUGCCAGCCGCAGC
rnacentral:rRNA from 1 species